GAUGAACGCUGGCGGCGUGCCUAAUACAUGCAAGUCGAACGCUGGAGAUCUAGCUUGCUAGAUCGAAGGAGUGGCGAACGGGUGAGUAAUACAUAAGCAACCUACCCACGAAGACUGGGAUAAUCUCUGGAAACGGGGGCUAAUACCGGAUAGGUAAUCGGAAGGCAUCUUCUGGUUAUUAAAGGUUAAAAACACUGGUGGAUGGGCUUAUGGCGCAUUAGUUAGUGGGUGAGGUAACGGCCCACCAAGACGAUGAUGCGUAGCCGGCCUGAGAGGGUGAACGGCCACAUUGGGACUGAGACACGGCCCAGACUCCUACGGGAGGCAGCAGUAGGGAAUUUUCGGCAAUGGGGGCAACCCUGACCGAGCAACGCCGCGUGAGUGAAGACGGCCUUCGGGUUGUAAAGCUCUGUUGUAAGGGAAGAACGGUAGAUAGAGAAUAUCUAAGUGACGGUACCUUACCAGAAAGCCACGGCUAACUACGUG
rnacentral:rRNA from 1 species